GUCAGUAGCAGUCUCGCUGUCAGAGGAACCAGUCAAUAGGGUGAAUGUUAUUUUCUGUGUUACGAAAUUGGUAUUUGCUCGGGAGACACAACCGUUUGUUUGGAUUUUCUCCCAACAGGGAGCAAGUAUCCAAGAACUCCACAUACUGAAAGAAAACAUUGAUAUCAAAAUAAUAAUAAAAAUCCAACUCAAUUCAUCCAUUCAAUUGAAAAUGGCAGAAAACUUACUCAAUAAUUUGCUAGCUACGAUAGUAAUGAGCAUCAGGCAUACAUACCGUAAAUUAGUUGGGAACAAAUCUACAACAACAGCCAAUACAAUGCUCAUACCAAUGGAGGAGGCAGCCUCAAAGAUACAGG